AACUUUGUGCUGAUCGCAUGGCCACGAGCCGGCGACGUUUCUUUCAAGUGUCUGCCUUAUCAACUUUCGAUGGUAGGUUACUUGCUUACCAUGGUUGUUACGGGUAACGGAGAAUCAGGGUUCGAUUCCGGAGAGGGAGCCUGAGAAACGGCUACCACAUCCAAGGAAGGCAGCAGGCGCGCAAAUUACCCACUCCCGGCACGGGGAGGUAGUGACGAAAAAUAACAAUACGGGACUCUUUUGAGGCCCCGUAAUUGAAAUGAGUACACUCUAAAUCCUUUAACGAGGAUCAAUUGGAGGGCAAGUCUGGUGCCAGCAGCCGCGGUAAUUCCAGCUCCAAUAGCGUAUACUAAAGCUGCUGCGGUUAAAAAGCUCGUAGUUGGAUCUCAGUUCCAGACGAGUAGUGCAUCUACCCGAUGCGACGGCUCGGACUGAACAUCAUGCCGGUUCUUUCUUGGUGCACUUCAUUGUGUGCCUCGAGAUGGCCGGUGCUUUUACUUUGAAAAAAUUAGAGUGCUCAACGCAGGCGAGUCGCCUGAAUAAACUUGCAUGGAAUAAUAGAACAAGACCUCGUUUCUGUUCUGUUGGUUUUGGAAUACGAGGUAAUGAUUAAGAGGGACGGACGGGGGCAUUCGUAUUGCGGCGCUAGAGGUGAAAUUCUUGGACCGUCGCAAGACGAACUACUGCGAAAGCAUUUGCCAAGAAUGUUUUCAUUGAUCAAGAACGAAAGUCAGAGGUUCGAAGGCGAUCAGAUACCGCCCUAGUUCUGACCAUAAACGAUGCCAACCAGCGAUCCGCCUGAGUUACUCAAAUGACUCGGCGGGCAGCUUCCGGGAAACCAAAGUAUUUGGGUUCCGGGGGAAGUAUGGUUGCAAAGCUGAAACUUAAAGGAAUUGACGGAAGGGCACCACCAGGAGUGGAGCCUGCGGCUUAAUUUGACUCAACACGGGAAAACUUACCCGRCC
rnacentral:rRNA from 1 species